UGGGGAAUAUUGCGCAAUGGGGGAAACCCUGACGCAGCGACGCCGCGUGUGGGAUGAAGGUCUUCGGAUUGUAAACCACUGUCGCGAGGGACGAAGCUCUGACGGUACCUCGAAAGGAAGCACCGGCUAACUCUGUGCCAGCAGCCGCGGUAAUACAGAGGGUGCGAGCGUUGUCCGGAAUCACUGGGCGUAAAGGGCGCGUAGGCGGCCCGGUAAGUAGGGGGUGAAAUCUCAUGGCUCAACUGUGAGGCUGCCUUCUAGACUGCCAGGCUUGAGCACAGUAGAGGCGAGUGGAAUUCCCGGUGUAGCGGUGGAAUGCGUAGAGAUCGGGAAGAACAUCGGUGGCGAAGGCGGCUCGCUGGGCUGUUGCUGACGCUGAGGCGCGAAAGCUAGGGGAGCAAACGGGAUUAGAUACCCUCGUAGUCCCUGAGCGGGCUGGCAAGGCGCAU
rnacentral:rRNA from 1 species